ACACUCCUACGGGAGGCAGCAGUGAGGAAUAUUGGACAAUGGGUGGAAGCCUGAUCCAGCCAUCCCGCGUGCAGGAAGACGGCCCUAUGGGUUGUAAACUGCUUUUAUCUGGGGAUAAACCUACUUACGUUUAAGUAGCUGAAGGUACCAGAAGAAUAAGCACCGGCUAACUCCGUGCCAGCAGCCGCGGUAAUACGGAGGGUGCAAGCGUUAUCCGGAUUUAUUGGGUUUAAAGGGUCCGUAGGCGGACUGAUAAGUCAGUGGUGAAAUCCGACAGCUUAACUGUCGAACUGCCAUUGAUACUGUUAGUCUUGAGUAAGGUUGAAGUGGCUGGAAUAAGUAGUGUAGCGGUGAAAUGCAUAGAUAUUACUUAGAACACCAAUUGCGAAGGCAGGUCACUAAGUCUUAACUGACGCUGAUGGACGAAAGCGUGGGGAGCGAACAGGAUUAGAAACCCCAGUAGUCCCA
rnacentral:rRNA from 1 species